ACUGCUCAGUAACACGUGGACAACCUACCCUUGGGUCUGGCAUAAUCCUGGGAAACUGGGUAUAAUUCCAGAUAGGUCACAGAUGCUGGAAUGCACUGUGGCCGAAAGCUCCGGCGCCCAAGGAUGGGUCUGCGGCCUAUCAGGGUUGUAGUGGGUGUAACGGACCUACUAGCCUACGACGGGUACGGGUUGUGAGAGCAAGAGCCCGGAGAUGGAUUCUGAGACACGAAUCCAGGCCCUACGGGGUGCAGCAGGCGCGAAAACUUUACAAUGCGGGAAACCGUGAUAAGGGAAUCUCGAGUGCCAGCAUAUAAUGUUGGCUGUCCAGAUGCCUAAAAAGCAUCUGUUAGCAAGGGCCGGGCAAGACCGGUGCCAGCCACCGCGGUAACACCGGCGGCCCGAGUGGUAACCGCUUUUAUUGGGUCUAAAGGGUCUGUAGCCGGCCAAGUAAGUCCCUUGGGAAAUCUGGCAGCUUAACUGUCAGGCUGCUAGGGGAUACUGCUAGGCUUGGGACCGGGAGAGGUGAGAGGUACCUUGGGGGUAGGGGUGAAAUCUUGUGAUCCUCGGGGGACCACUAGUGGCGAAGGCGUCUCACCAGAACGGGUCCGACGGUAAGGGACGAAAGCUAGGGGCACGAACCGGAUUAGAUACCCGGGUAGUCCUAGCCGUAAACGAUGCUCGCUAGGUGUCAGUCACGGUGCGACCGUGAUUGGUGCCGUAGGGAAGCCGUGAAGCGAGCCACCUGGGGAAGUAUGGCCGCAAGGCUGAAACUUAAAGGAAUUGGCGGGGGAGCAC
rnacentral:rRNA from 1 species